rnacentral:misc_RNA from 1 species
GAAAUGCGAUAAGUAAUGUGAAUUGCAGAAUUCAGUGAAUCAUCGAAUCUUUGAACGCACCUUGCGCUCCUUGGUAUUCCUUGGAGCAUGCCUGUUUGAGUAUCAUGAAAUCUUCAAAGUAAAUCUUUUGCUAACUCAAUUGGUUUCUACUUUGGUAUUGGAGGUCUUUGCAGCUUCACACCUGCUCCUCUUUGUUCAUUAGCUGGAUCUCAGUGUUAUGCUUGGUUCCACUCGGCGUGAUAAGUUAUCUAUCGCUGAGGACACUGUAAAAGGUGGCCAAGGUAAAUGCAGAUGAACCGCUUCUAAUAGUCCAUUGACUUGGACAAUACUUUUAUGAUCUGAUCUCAAAUCAGGUAGGACUACCCGCUGAACUUAAGC